CCUACGGGGGGCAGCAGUGGGGAAUAUUGGACAAUGGGGGCAACCCUGAUCCAGCCAUGCCGCGUGUGUGAAGAAGGCCCUCGGGUUGUAAAGCACUUUCAGUGAGGAAGAACGCCUGGUGGUUAAUACCCAUCAGGAAAGACAUCACUCACAGAAGAAGCACCGGCUAACUCCGUGCCAGCAGCCGCGGUAAUACGGAGGGUGCGAGCGUUAAUCGGAAUUACUGGGCGUAAAGCGCGCGUAGGUGGCUUGAUAAGCCGGUUGUGAAAGCCCCGGGCUCAACCUGGGAACGGCAUCCGGAACUGUCAAGCUAGAGUGCAGGAGAGGAAGGUAGAAUUCCCGGUGUAGCGGUGAAAUGCGUAGAGAUCGGGAGGAAUACCAGUGGCGAAGGCGGCCUUCUGGACUGACACUGCCACUGAGGUGCGAAAGCGUGGGUAGCAAACAGGAUUAGAUACCCGUGUAGUC
rnacentral:rRNA from 1 species